CUACCCCGACCCCGCCCCGAGGGUACCCGUCGCGCCGUCGGGCUCCCGGGGCCGGGCGGGGCCGCCGGGACCCGAGCCCCCGAGUCCCCGUCCUGCCCGACUGCGGCCCAGACCUCCGCGGUCCGCACCUCGGGCCACGCGGGAGGUCCCGGCCCCUUGCUGGCCCUCCCCGCCUGCGGCCCGAGCCGAGAGGGGCGGCCCCGCGGCGCUGCUGUGCAGAAGUUAAUUCGAUUCUCCGGGGUAACCGAGUUAUGCGCCCCUCGGCCCGCCCCCGGCGAGGUCCGGUCCGUUGGGGGCCGGAGACUGAUCUGGAGGGGGAUGGAGACGGGACAGACGGGGGCAGGGAGGAAGUGGGUGCCGGGAGGAGGCGCGGAGGAGGCAGGGCCAGAAGAGGAGGCCGCCGUGCUGAAGCCGGGACGGGAAAGACCAGGCUAGAAUAUUCCAGGGUCCUGCAGAUGGGGAGCUGGAGCAUCCAGGAGCAGAGCAGGUCCUGUCAUCAGCCAAAGUCCUCAGGGAUUGAGAAAAGGACUCCUGGAAUUCCUCUCCCUGACUUGACCACACCGUGGGGCACAAGUCCCUUCUCAGGUCUUCUCUUCCCCUGGCCACACCUUUGCUUGGCACACGACUAUCUGCUAUUAGUUUCUAUGAGGCAACUAGUAGACUAACCUGAAAUCUCUGCGCUGGAGAAUCCUGCCCUUGCUUCCAAGGAAGGAUUCCUUAACCCGGACUCCCAUCCCCAUUCUCUGAAGAGGAAUAAUCCUCCCCAACAGGAAACUUCCUCUUGGGCUGCUGCUCAUCAGCUGGAAGGGAGUCCUCCUUUAUCUGAGGAAUUUGCACGUGACCUUAUCCUUUCCCCAGUGACAAUGCUGACCAGCAGUGGGAGCACUUGAAACUUUCAUAAAGGGACAAGCAAGGGGAGGAAGGGAGGAAAAGAGGCCCAUUACUGCUUCAGGCCUGAUUCCCGCUGUCUCAGCAUCUGGCUAUGUCAUUCCUACAGUUUGGUCCUUGAGCUAGUAAAUCCCUUCCAUCUAAGCUGCUUUCAGCUGAUCUUCUAACACUUGCAAUCAAGAGUCCUGAACAGCACAAUCUCUGAAGGCUUGACAUCCUUACAGGAAAUCAAAUAGUGGUGCUUAGAAGUUUUAUUGUAAAAUGCAUGUGACAGCAUGACAGAGUAGGCUGGGCAGGAGCUGGCUUUCCACGCCUCAGGACUGUGACUGUCUUCACAUUCUUCUCUAUGUUUAAUCUAGUUCAAGUUGGAUUUCUGUCUGUCAGUUCCCAACAAAGGAAUCCACAUAAACAAUUGGGAUAAAGUAUGCAAUGAUGCAGGCAGCCAUUUGCACCUCCCUGUUGGCACAGGAGAUGAGAAGCAGCCCAAGAAAGGAGUAGGAGGCAUCAAAGUGGCUUCCUGAGAACUCACCAGAAGAAAAGAAGAGGAGCAGAGUGGCGCAGACUCAGCAAGGACGUCACACGAGAGAGGCUGGUCGAGGGUCUGGUGCGAGGUGCCUUCCCCUGAAUGAACGUACUCCAAUGCUUUGGCGUGAAACACAGCUAUCUUGCUCAGGAGCCUCCUGGCUGCACAUGAUGUUUUCACUUCCAGGAGCUAUGACGGGCUGUGGAGCCUCACUGCUGGGUACAGCACUGGUCCUGCCACUGCUGAGCUGCAUGACGUAGGGUGCAUUACUCAGCUUCUCUGUACUUUAGUUUUCUCAUCUGAAAACAGACUAUUUAAAUCAUUAGAGAAAUUAAAACCUAUGAUGUAUGAAUUAAAGCCUGGUAUAUAGCAAACAUUAAGUAAAGUAGCUUUUACCUUUGC
ensembl:lincRNA